rnacentral:rRNA from 1 species
CUAGUCCUACGGGACGCAGCAGUGGGGAAUAUUGGGCAAUGGGCGCAAGCCUGACCCAGCAACGCCGCGUGAAGGAAGAAGGCUUUCGGGUUGUAAACUUCUUUUAAGAGGGAAGAGAAGAAGACGGUACCUCUUGAAUAAGCCACGGCUAACUACGUGCCAGCAGCCGCGGUAAUACGUAGGUGGCAAGCGUUGUCCGGAUUUACUGGGUGUAAAGGGCGUGCAGCCGGGCUGACAAGUCAGAUGUGAAAUCCCGCGGCUCAACCGCGGAACUGAAUUUGCAACAGUCAGUCUUGAGU